GAACAGUUCACAAGUACUCAGAAUCACUAAAAUUCAGAGCAUUGUGUGUGUGCAAUUGAGAUACACUCUCUGCUUUUCCAGGGAAUUGUUAAUUUCUGUUCUGGAACUUCUCCAGAAGACAGGGCAUUAGUAUACCAAUUGCCUAAUCAGCACUUAACACUUAAGAGUCAGACAAACAAACCAAAUUAAUUUGUCAGAAACUUGAGCUUCCUCAUUCUCCAAGCACGUGAACCUAUGCAGUAAUUGCUAAUAUUGAUUUUCACAUUGACAGAUCUAGAAUCACUUUGGAUACAAGCCUCCAAGCAGACCAGUGGAAUGUAAUCUGCACUGCUAAUUCAGAGAGAUGGGACCACAUCACCACUACUACAGCGAGAAGGCCAGGAACAACUACAGCACCAUCAAAUCCUAUGAGUAAGACAAGCUCUCAGAAGAAAAAAGGAAGGAAGGAUUUUCCACAUCAGCUACCUGUUUCAGUUGGUCAGACAAGGAUCUCGAAGAUAUCUUGGGAGACGGGGGAUACAAACCUGACAAGAACAGAGUGGAUGGACUGCCAGACCGAAGGCUUCAUGAAAGAACUGUGCUGCUGUGAACGUCUGUAUAUGGGCUUAUAGAAGAUUUCACACAGGCAUAGUUUUUAACUGUCUUGAGUACUUGUGGGC
ensembl:lncRNA